UCUGCAAGUUUACUGUUAAAAAAAACCAGCCAGGAGGGCGACAGAGCAGAGCAGAGCUGAGCCGUGAGGAGAGCAGAGUUUGCCGAAUACAUGAGACUGUGUGUCCCGGUGUCGGAAAUUAUUAUCUCCGCAUUCUGGGAAUUUCAUUUGCCACCAGACAAGUGGAGCGGC
rnacentral:lncRNA from 1 species